rnacentral:rRNA from 1 species
UACGUAGGGGCCAAGCGUUGUCCGGAUUUAUUGGGCGUAAAGAGCUCGUAGGCGGUUCGGCAAGUCGACGGUGAAAUCUCCACGCUCAACGUGGAGGGGUCCGUCGGUACUGCCGUGACUCGAGUCCGGUAGGGGAGAAUGGAAUUCCCGGGUGUAGCGGUGAAAUGCGCAGAGAUCGGGAGGAACACCCGUAGCGAAGGCGGAGUUCUCCUGGGCCGGUAGUGACUGCUGACGGAG